UACGUAGGGGGCUAGCGUUGUCCGGAUUUAUUGGGCGUAAAGAGCGUGUAGGCGGCCAAGUAGGUCCGGUGUGAAAACUCGAGGCUUAACCUCGAGAUGUCAUCGGAAACCAUUUGGCUAGAGUCCGGAAGAGGAAAGUGGAAUUCCUGGUGUAGCGGUGAAAUGCGUAGAUAUUGGGAGGAACACCGGUGGCGAAGGCGACCCUCUGGACCGGUACUGACACUGAUGCGCGAAAGCGUGGGGAGCAAACGGG
rnacentral:rRNA from 1 species